rnacentral:rRNA from 1 species
ACCGUAGGUGGCGAGCGUUAUCCGGAUUUACUGGGCGUAAAGGGUGUGCAGGCGGGCCAUUAAGUGGUGUAUGAAAUAUCCCGGCUCAACCGGGAGAGGUUAUGCCAGACUGGUGGUCUAGAGAGCGAGAGAGGGACGUGGAAUUCCGGGUGUAGUGGUGAAAUGCGUAGAUAUCUGGAGGAACACCGGUGGCGAAGGCGGCAUCCUGGACCGGCAUUGACGCUGAGGCGCGAAAGCUAGGGGAGCAAACGGG